AGUGUAUGUGGUGGAUGCCUUGGCGAUCACAGGCGAUGAAGGACGUGACAGCCUGCGAAAAGCUGCGGGGAGUUGGCAAAUAAACUUUGAUCCGCAGAUGUCCGAAUGGGGGAACCCACCUCUUUUGAGGUAUCUCUAGCUGAAUACAUAGGCUAGGGAGGCGAACGGAGUGAACUGAAACAUCUAAGUAACUCCAGGAAAAGAAAUCAACCGAGAUUCCGAAAGUAGCGGCGAGCGAAAUUGGAUCAGCCUAAUGCUCGAUAACAACGGCUAAUACUGGCACAGUCUGGAAAGUCUGGCUAUAGAGGGUGAUAGCCCCGUACAGGAAAUUAGCGUUGUGGUACUAAGUGCAUGAAAAGUAGGGCGGGACACGUGACAUCCUGUCCGAAGAUGGGGGGACCAUCCUCCAAGGCUAAAUACUCGUGAUCGACCGAUAGCGUACCAGUACUGUGAAGGAAAGGCGAAAAGAACCCCGGGAGGGGAGUGAAAUAGAACCUGAAACCGCAUACAUACAAACAGUAGGAGCCUCGUUAAGGGGUGACUGCGUACCUUUUGCAUAAUGGGUCAGCGACUUACGUUUAAUGGCAAGCUUAACCGAUUAGGGGAGGCGUAGCGAAAGCGAGUUCGAAUAGAGCGAUUUGAGUCGUUAGGCGUAGACCCGAAACCAGAUGAUCUAUCCAUGGUCAGGUUGAAGAUGUGGUAACACACAUUGGAGGACCGAACCGACUAGUGUUGCAAAAUUAGCGGAUGAACUGUGGAUAGGGGUGAAAGGCUAAACAAAUCUGGAGAUAGCUGGUUCUCCCCGAAAACUAUUGAGGUAGUGCCUCGUGUAUAACUCCAGGGGGUAGAGCACUGUUAUGGCUAGGGGGACAUGGCGUCUUACCAAACCAUGGCAAACUCCGAAUACUUGGAAGUUGAGCACGGGAGACAGAGCACCGGGUGCUAACGUCCGGACUCAAGAGGGAAACAACCCAGACCGCCGGCUAAGGUCCCUAAUAUUGUCUAAGUGGAAAACGAAGUGGAAAGGCUAAAACAGUCAGGAAGUUGGCUUAGAAGCAGCCAUCCUUUAAAGAAAGCGUAAUAGCUCACUGAUCGAGUCUUUCUGCGCGGAAGAUGUAACGGGGCUAAGACAAUAACCGAAGCCGCGGAUUCACACGUAAGUGUGAGUGGUAGGGGAGCGUUCUGUAAGCCUGCGAAGGUGGCUUGUAAAGGCUGCUGGAGGUAUCAGAAGUGCGAAUGCUGACAUGAGUAACGUUAAAGUGGGUGAAAAGCCCACUCGCCGUAAGCCCAAGGUUUCCUGCUCUACGUUCAUCGGAGCAGGGUGAGUCGGCCCCUAAGGUGAGGCUGAUAAGCGUAACUGAUGGGAACAAGGUUAAUAUUCCUUGACCGCCGUUGAGUGCGAAGGGGGGACGGAGUAUUGAAGAUCAUCCGGGUGUUGGAUAUCCCGGUUUGCGCGCGUAGGAGGCUGAUAGGCAAAUCCGUCAGCGAAUCUCCGAGGCAAAGCAUCGAGACCUUUUAGGUCGAAGUGAUUGGAUGUGCUCCCAGGAAAAGCCUCUAAGCUCCAGCUCAACGGGACCGUACCGCAAACCGACACUGGUGGGCGAGCUGAAUAUGCUCAGGCGCUUGAGAGAACUCAGGAGAAGGAACUCGGCAAAUUGACACCGUAACUUCGGGAUAAGGUGUGCCUUUGUAGUGUGAAGGAAGAAACAUCCGGAGCAUGAAGAGGUCUCAGAGAAUUGGUGGCUGCGACUGUUUACUAAAAACACAGCACUCUGCAAAGACGAAAGUCGACGUAUAGGGUGUGAUGCCUGCCCGGUGCUGGAAGGUUAAUUGAUGGUGUAAUCGAAAGAGAAGCUCCUGAUCGAAGCCCCAGUAAACGGCGGCCGUAACUAUAACGGUCCUAAGGUAGCGAAAUUCCUUGUCGGGUAAGUUCCGACCUGCACGAAUGGCAUAAUGAUGGCCAGGCUGUCUCCACCCGAGACUCAGUGAAAUUGAAAUCGCCGUGAAGAUGCGGUGUACCCGCGGCUAGACGGAAAGACCCCGUGAACCUUUACUAUAGCUUGACACUGAACAUUGAAUUUUGAUGUGUAGGAUAGGUGGGAGACUUUGAAGUAGUCACGCCAGUGAUUAUGGAGUCGUCCUUGAAAUACCACCCUUUAACGUUUGAUGUUCUAACGAAGAUUACGAAACGUGGUCUCGGACAGUGUCUGGUGGGUAGUUUGACUGGGGCGGUCUCCUCCCAAAGAGUAACGGAGGAGCACGAAGGUUUGCUAAUGACGGUCGGACAUCGUCAGGUUAGUGCAAUGGUAUAAGCAAGCUUAACUGCGAGACAGACAAGUCGAGCAGGUACGAAAGUAGGUCAUAGUGAUCCGGUGGUUCUGAAUGGAAGGGCCAUCGCUCAACGGAUAAAAGGUACUCCGGGGAUAACAGGCUGAUACCGCCCAAGAGUUCAUAUCGACGGCGGUGUUUGGCACCUCGAUGUCGGCUCAUCACAUCCUGGGGCUGAAGUAGGUCCCAAGGGUAUGGCUGUUCGCCAUUUAAAGUGGUACGCGAGCUGGGUUUAGAACGUCGUGAGACAGUUCGGUCCCUAUCUGCCGUGGGCGUUGGAGAAUUGGUUGGGGCUGCUCCUAGUACGAGAGGACCGGAGUGGACGCACCACUGGUGUUCCGGUUGUGUCGCCAGACGCAUUGCCGGGUAGCUAAGUGCGGAAGAGAUAAGUGCUGAAAGCAUCUAAGCACGAAACUUGCCAAGAGAUGAGUUCUCCCUGUUUUUAAGACAGUAAGGGUUGU
rnacentral:rRNA from 1 species